AGCUUUGAAAGACUGCGCAGUCUGCAGGAAGCCUGUCAGGGGAACUGUCCGCGCUUUCUUGGGCUAGACACUAGAGUCAUCGAAGAUCAGAAGUUGUUAUCGUUUCAACUGUACUCAUUUUAAUAAGAGUUAGACAGCUGUUAACAUUAAAAAUAAAGUCCAGGAUGUAUUUAGAAUUUUGUAUACCCUGGAUUAGAAUGAC